AAGUCGCUAGUUGUGGCUCCAGCGCAUACACGCUUACCUUGACCAUGACCUCCAUGGCGUCGAAGAUGAACCAAACCAACCACCGCUCUUCUGCACGGCCGUGUCCCUGUCCGCUCCUCUUCUGGCUACCCCCGCCGUGCUUCUAGGAGAGUCAUCUAAAGUGUACGCAGAGCAGAAAAUUACUUCUCGAGACAAACACUUCAUUUCUAAAAUGCAACAAGCAAGCAUAUUGAAAAACUAAUACAAGAAACAUUUUCAGUACCCAAUAACAUGAUUAAUUAACUCAAUGUUGAGUUCUUUCAAUC
rnacentral:lncRNA from 1 species